ACCCGCUGAAUUUAAGCAUAUAAGUAAGCGGAGGACAAGAAACUAAAUAGGAUUCCCUUAGUAAUGGCGAAUGAACAGGGAUGAGCUCAGCAUGGAAAUCGGGGUCUUAUGGCCUUGAAUUGUAGUCUGAAGAUGUACUGCCAACGGAGGCGCAGAUGUAAGCCUCUUGGAAAAGAGCAUCAACGAGGGUGAGAGUCCCGUUUGUCAUCUGCAGUCCCCCGUGCACGGUGUGCAUUCUAAGAGUCACGUUCCUCGGGACUGGAGCGCAAAGUGGGUGGUAAAUUUCAUCUAAAGCUAAAUAUUGGUUCGAGACCGAUAGCAAACAAGUACCAUGAGGGAAAGGUGAAAAGGACUUUGAAAAGAGAGUUAAAAGUGCCUGAAAUUGCUGAAAGGGAAGCGAAUGGAACCAGUGUUCUUGAUGAGAUUGUUGCACACUCUGGUGAUUGCUGGCUGUUCUACCGCAAGGGGGGCGGCUGGUUUUGAUCUAGUGUUGUGUAAUGUUUCUUGUCUUGUGUGUCACCGUCGGUGCAUAAGCGAGGAAGCCUCCAAGGUCAUGGUAGCUCUUCCAUGGAGGAGUGAAUGUCUUUGGUAGUACUCAUUUGUGUAUCGAUCACUGCGUGUCUGGUUGCAGUGUUUUGUCGCCCCGAUCGCUCUUGGUGAGCUUGUCUCUCCGAGUGUCUUUUGGGUGCGCUGAGCAUCUCCCUGACACAAAGACGAUGACUAAAUGGUUCUAUUCGACCCGUCUUGAAACACGGACCAAGG
rnacentral:rRNA from 1 species